UGAAAUUUUCAAAUAUAGUAGCCCGAUGGCCAGGUGCCACCCAUGAUGCGUUUAUCUGGUCCAACUGCAAUUUAAAGGUGAAGAUGGAACGCGGCCUGAAUGAUGGAGGAUACUUGCUCGGUGACAGUGCCUACCCACUUAGACCCUGUCUCAUGACCCCAGUCUCCCGCCCAGCAGAUGCAGCGGACAGACAAUACAACGUUCACCACAGGCGAGUACGAAACAUCAUUGAACGAACCUUUGGAAGAUGGAAAAACCGAUGGAGGUGCUUGCACAAAGAAGGUGGAACUCUUCGAUUAAGCCCCGAGAAGUGUUGCUCGGUGAUCAUUGCAACAUCUGUGCUACAUAACAUCUGUGAAAACCACGGCCUCCCUGUCCCAAACGACCCACCAGCCAAUGUGGAUAAUCCCGAUGAUGACGUCAACAAUAGACCAAUCCUCGAUGUCGAUGUCGAAGAAAGAGGUGUUGGAGAAAGGGCACGCUUGAUAGAUCAGCAUUUCAGGAAUAUGUAAUGAAGCCGUUGUUCUUCCACGUCAAGUCGCUUGCUCUCGAUUUUGACCCGUUCCUUCUCCACAUCAAUUAGUUCAACGGCAUGUGAAAGCUUCUUAUCUGCGAGAGACAAACCAGUUGAAGACGCCUUGGAAGAGCCAGCAGUGGGACGACAGCUCUUGGGUUGUCGGGCAGGACUUGGCGGCGGUGAAGGGGAUCGGGUGUCAUCUUCUGAGCUGCUAUCGUUCGGGCGCGUGAUGGUUGCUGUAACCUUACGAAUUCUCUGGAAAAUACAUUUGAUAGACUUAAAUGCAAAAAGCCAUUAAACAUGAGUGAGGUCUUAGUAUGUCUUUAGUUGUUAUUUACUUCCUUCUCAUAUAGAA